UCCGGUCAAGAUAAAUUCACUCUAGUGUCUUAUGGCUUUUUAUUCCUAUGUGAUAGUAAUAAAGUCUCAUGUAGGGAUGGAAGCCAUGAAAUACAUUGUGAAAUGUCAUCAACUAAGAUGGGGCCAUCAGUAUAGAAAACAUCCUAGUUG